GUCCACGCCCUAAACGAUGGAUGUUAGAUGUCGGGACAUUAGUCUCGGUAUCGUAGCUAACGCGUUAAACAUCCCGCCUGGGGAGUACGGUCGCAAGAUUAAAACUCAAAGGAAUUGACGGGGACCCGCACAAGCGGUGGAGCAUGUGGUUUAAUUCGAUGCAACGCGAAGAACCUUACCACCCUUUGACAUGUGCACUGCGGUUAUCAGAAAUGAUUUCCUCAUUUAGUUGGGUGCACACAGGUGUUGCAUGGCUGUCGU
rnacentral:rRNA from 1 species